UUUAAGGAAGAUUGAAGUGACCAGACUGACUCCCUCUUUUUACCUCUUUCCAGCCCUCAUGGUUGGGUCCAGGACCAGAGACCUCAGGUGGAAGCCUUCCUUACGCUGAUUAUGAGACUAACCCUUGUAUUCAGCCAGAGCAGUUCAAAAGAAGACACAUCACCAACAAGGAAGUUUUUUGAUGAUGAAACUUUCAUGGAUCCUUUGUCAAUGACAAGAACAAUGGCUGGAACACAGCAGGUAUUUUAUCCUUGCCCAGUGAUUGGCUGCAUGUUUCAAAUGAGUCCAUAAUAAUGAGCCACUAUUGAUCUUACUCUCCUGCAUUGUGGCUUCCCAGAAGAACUGAGUGAAUUAAAACAAAGUUUGUAUUUGGAAAAUGGCUACAUGAAAUGGUCAGUUAAUUGGUGAGCUUAACUGCAGAGGAUGCAUUUCAGUGGUCUAGGUGAUCACCAUAAAAGUGGAAACAGAAUAUAAGAUGGAUCUCUACUCACAAAAAUAUCUUGAUCGACAUCCUUGAUAAUAUUUCUAAGAGAUAUCUUUCUUUAGUUCUAAUUUAGCAGGUUAAAGUUCAACAAAUGCCACUUAAAAAUAAUCAGCGAACAUUUUUCUAUACCAUCUUUAACUUCACCCAUCCCUUAUAGCAGAGAGGGGAGAAAAAAGUUUUCCCUCACCUUUAUAGGGCCUCUGGGUGGGUCUGAAAAUUAAGCCAACAGAGACAGAUUAACGGGAGAAAAGCAUACAAUUUUUAAUGAAUCUUAACAUGUAUGUGGGAGCUUUCACAAGAGAAUGAAGACUCAGAAGUGACCAGAGUUGGAAGCUUUUAACACCUUUUAGACAAAGAAACAAUACACAAAUGUGAAGAAUUGACAGGACAGACAGUUGGUGGGGGGGGGGGGGGUUGUAAAUGGUGAAGAAGUAACAAGGAAGUUAAGAGUGUUAAGAAUUAGUUUAAUGAAAAAAAUUUUUUUUUAAAGAAUUAGUUUAAUGAGGUUUCUUUAUUUAGAUUUCUCAGCCCCCAGUUUCCUGUCCUUGGUGAUGAGAAUGUCCUCUUUCUUCCUGAUACAGGGAGGGUAUCUUUCACAUGGGAGUUUUAUGACCUGUUUGUGAGAAGAAGGGCAAGAGGUGAAGUCAGAGGGACCUUCCCACCUGUGCCGUUUUCUAGAAUUCCUGCAGCUUAAAAUAUUCAUUGUGUCCAUGUGCCAUAUUGUGGGGUGGGGAGGAGACAAGGGGUGUGUCUUGAAGCCCAUCACAGUAUUUCCAUAUUUCACAUUUGGGGACUAGGCAGGAGACA
rnacentral:lncRNA from 12 species